GGCUUUUUAUAUUAGUUUUUAAUUGAUAGAGGAGUACAGGCAAUUGGAUACUGAUGAAAAUACAGGAUUAAUUUUAUCUGAUAUCGAAAAUUUUGAACUUCUUGUUGAGUAAAUUUAAGGGAUUAUUGCUCAGAUUGGAAGGGCUUGUAGGUCUUGAGAGAGUUCGUCAGACCUUCAACUGAUCCAGCUGCAGCAACAAGUGAUACCAACAAGCAGGCGAAACUCAAUAUUUUCAGCCAUGUCCAUGUGAAGGAGAACUUUGGCAUUCUUGUGCGUGCAAUGUACAUUUCUAUUGGAAAAUAUACUGUCAAUGGCCAGAAAGCAGCUGCUCCGAUAAGACCCAAGAAGUCGUUGAAGAAUGGGAAUAUCAUGGCUAAGACAGCAGUCACUAUAACGUAUAGAGUCCUCCACGCUAAUCUGAACAAGUUGAGGUAAUACACACCAUAAAAUGGAAUAUUAAUGGCGUGUUCUCUUGAUAUGAACUUGUUCUCUGGCCACCUUUGAUGGCAGUUCCUCUCCACAAAACUGAAGAUUGGCUGGCAGAAAACCUGGUAGGCACCGAUGAGGUGAACGGCAAUGCACACAUUGGCAAAGUCGAUCAGCCAAAAAGGUUCAUAGAAUCCGAAGCCUGUGAGGAAAUUGCCAGGAGCAUCAUUUCCAAAUGCUGCAUAACCAACGCAACCGCAUAGGACAUAGAACAGGGUGGUUGUCAGGAUGCCAACAAAGGAUGCCUUCUUCAUAGCUUUAUUCUCAGGACUUGAUUUGAUGGUAUCCUGUAUCUCGAUGAGAACAGUAGAGAAAGCAAAAGCAAAAGCAAUGUCCCCGAUUGCUUGGAAUGCCUUCCACACCUUCUGUGCUGCUGUGACGUCCACCCCAACUGUAGUUCCUGUUAAGCUUGUCCUUGAAUGUCCCCCACCUGCUACUUUUGCUAUGGAUAGUCCGAGACCUAUUGAAGAAUAGGCGAAAGACAUCACAGCUGCAAGAACUGAGAGCCAUGAGAGCUUGUGAAAGUUUGGUAUUUGGCCAAGGAUGAUUUGGAUGCAAGCAAAGAUAAUCAUGUAGGUGUAGUUUGAUAUAUGGCACUUGUCUUGAUGUCCAUGCUUGUGGAAACAGUUUGACCUCUUUACAGCCACCAUGCUAAUGGAUGCUGUAAUAGUGUAGCCAAUUGUGACUCCUACCAGGUUCGCAUACUGAGCCAACCCACAAAGGAAAACUCUCCGGCCUCCUAAGUUGGCUCUCACAGCAUCCAUGUAGGUGUAGUUUCUUUUGCCAGUGACUGGAUCAGGCGACCUGUAGGAAUCGGCAAGAAGAGUGGAAGUGAAAAGGGUUAUGAAAGAGAACGCCAUGAGAAUAACCGGCCCAGCCACCCAUCCCAACUGGGCUAUGGCCCAUGCUAGAGACAGCACUCCUGACCCAAUCACAGCGGUGAUGAUAUGAGCACUCGCAGUUAACCAUGUCCCAGUUCUUUUAGCUCGACCGUCAUCAUCCUGGUUCUUGUGAGUUCCACCGUUUUCAUAUCCUUCUAGGUCUGCCUGUUCCAAGUACAUGCUGCUAUGUUUCAUCUCUUUAGCCAUCUCUGUCUGUCUCUCUCUCUCUUUCUCUCUGGGUUAUGUACGUGUGUGUUUAUCGCAAGUUGGGACGGUUGAACUACGAGGGACAAGACGCUGAAAUAGAGAGGUGUAAUUAAUGGCUAGUUAAAUCAAAAUAAUUAAUGGAAGUGGCGACUACCAAAGUAGUCAACCAGCAGUGUUUCUGCCGCGAAUGUAUCAAGCAAAAAAAGGGCUGUUAGUUAAGUAUAUUAAAUGAACUUUCUGAGCUACAAACUGAAGUGUUUAUAGAGGAACCUAUAGGCUUUGUAGGAAUAAUGACACAAGGGUUCUCUGCACCAUUGAUGGUGGUGGUGGAAGGGGGUGAGGAGAUGAUGAGAGGGUGUGGUCUUUACUUAAACCCUGCAAGGGUCCCCACUACGUCUUUGUGUAUUUGGGUUAUCGACCAUCCAAAUUAAUAACAAUUAAUCUUUUAUAUCGUAACCAUUCAUUGUGAAAUUUUUGACAAGAAAUCUCUUCUAGUUUGCCCCAACAACACCGGUCUUUCUCCCUAAUUUUGCUUAGUCGGUUCCUUUUUUUCAUAUGAGACUAAUAUAAACCAGAAAGAUCGACCAAGUGUCGCUUGGAGACUCGUAAAACUACUUUCAAAACCUUGGCAUGGGCAAUAAUUUCACUGACCUCAUCAACUCUUUUUUUUUUUUUUUUUGAAUUGCAAAUUGCAUUACAUGCUCGGGCAGACCUCGUCAACCUCUUUGUUAUUUUGGUUUUCCCAUCUCGAAGCAAAACCAUCAGAAAGGUCGACAGGUGUGACGGAAGUUGGGGAUUGCAAAGCUUUUAACCUUUUCCUUUUCC
rnacentral:misc_RNA from 1 species